rnacentral:rRNA from 1 species
AGGACGAACGCUGGCGGCGUGCCUAACACAUGCAAGUCGAACGCGCUCCAUUCGGUAGCAAUACUGAUGAAGAGUGAGUGGCGAACGGGUGAGUAACACAUGAGCAACCUGCCCCGAAGACUGGGACAACACCGGGAAACCGGUGCUAAUACCGGAUAUCCCUAUCGGACCGCAUGAUCUGAUAAGGAAAUGGAUUCCGCUUCGGGAGGGGCUCGUGGCCUAUCAGCUAGUUGGUGAGGUAACGGCUCACCAAGGCAUCGACGGGUAGCUGGUCUGAGAGGACGAUCAGCCACACUGGGACUGAGACACGGCCCAGACUCCUACGGGAGGCAGCAGUGGGGAAUCUUGCGCAAUGGGCGAAAGCCUGACGCAGCAACGCCGCGUGGAGGACGAAGGCUUUCUGAGUUGUAACUCCUUUCAGCAGGGACGAUAGUGACGGUACCUGCAGAAGAGCACCGGCCAACGUACGCGCCAGCAG